rnacentral:rRNA from 1 species
UAGCAUAUCAAUAAGCGGAGGAAAAGAAACCAACAGGGAUUGCCCUAGUAACGGCGAGUGAAGCGGCAACAGCUCAAAUUUGAAAUCUGGCCCUCGGGUCCGAGUUGUAAUUUGUAGAGGAUGCUUUUGGUGAGGUGCCUUCCGAGUUCCCUGGAACGGGACGCCAUAGAGGGUGAGAGCCCCGUCUGGUUGGACACCGAGCCUCUGUAAAGCUCCUUCGACGAGUCGAGUAGUUUGGGAAUGCUGCUCUAAAUGGGAGGUAUAUGUCUUCUAAAGCUAAAUACCGGCCAGAGACCGAUAGCGCACAAGUAGAGUGAUCGAAAGAUGAAAAGCACUUUGAAAAGAGAGUUAAAAAGUACGUGAAAUUGUUGAAAGGGAAGCGCUUAUGACCAGACUUGGGCUUGGUUGAUCAUCCUGGGUUCUCCCUGGUGCACUCUUCCAGUUCAGGCCAGCAUCAGUUCGCUGCGGGGGAUAAAAGUUUUGGGAAUGUGGCUCCCUCGGGAGUGUUAUAGCCCAUUGCAUAAUACCCUGCUCCGGACUGAGGUUCGCGCAUCUGCAAGGAUGCUGGCGUAAUGGUCAUCAGCGACCCGUCUUGAAACACGGACCAAGGAGUCGUCUUCGUAUGCGAGUGUUCGGGUGUUAAACCCCUACGCGUAAUGAAAGUGAACGCAGGUGAGAGCUUCGGCGCAUCAUCGACCGAUCCUGAUGUUCUCGGAUGGAUUUGAGUAAGAGCAUACGGGGCCGGACCCGAAAGAAGGUGAACUAUGCCUGUAUAGGGUGAAGCCAGAGGAAACUCUGGUGGAGGCUCGCAGCGGUUCUGACGUGCAAAUCGAUCGUCAAAUAUGGGCAUGGGGGCGAAAGACUAAUCGAACCUUCUAGUAGCUGGUUUCCGCCAAU